CCUACGGGAGGCAGCAGUGAGGAAUAUUGGGCAAUGGGGGCAACCCUGAUCCAGCCAUGCCGCGUGAGUGAAGAAGGUCUUCGGAUUGUAAAGCUCUUUCGGACGUGACGAUGAUGACGGUGUCAUCUAAAGAAGCACCGGCAAACUAUGUGUCAGCAGCCGCGGUAAUACGAAGGGUGAGAGCGUUGGUGGGAAUUACUGGGCGUAAAGGGAGUGUAGGCGGAUAUGUAAGAUAGCGGUGAAAUGCCGGGGCUCAACCCCGGAACGGACACUAUGACUAUGUAUCUAGAGUAAUGGAGAGGAUAGCGGAAUACCCGGUGUAGAGGUGAAAGUCGUAGAUAUUGGGUAGAACACCAGUGGCGAAGGCGGCUAUCUGGACAUUUACUGACGCUGAGGCUCGAAAGCAUGGGGAUCAAACAGGAUUAGAUACCCGAGUAGUC
rnacentral:rRNA from 1 species